UACGAAGGGGGCUAGCGUUGCUCGGAAUCACUGGGCGUAAAGGGCGCGUAGGCGGCCGAUCAAGUCGGAGGUGAAAGCCCAGGGCUCAACCCUGGAAUGGCCUUCGAUACUGGUUGGCUCGAGACCGGAAGAGGUAAGUGGAACUGCGAGUGUAGAGGUGAAAUUCGUAGAUAUUCGCAAGAACACCAGUGGCGAAGGCGGCUUACUGGUCCGGUUCUGACGCUGAGGCGCGAAAGCGUGGGGAGCAAGCAGG
rnacentral:rRNA from 1 species